rnacentral:rRNA from 2 species
UACGUAGGGUGCGAGCGUUAAUCGGAAUUACUGGGCGUAAAGCGUGCGCAGGCGGCGGCUCAAGUCAGGUGUGAAAUCCCCGGGCUUAACCUGGGAAUUGCGCUUGAAACUAGGUUGCUAGAGUGUGGCAGAGGGGGGUGGAAUUCCACGUGUAGCAGUGAAAUGCGUAGAGAUGUGGAGGAACACCGAUGGCGAAGGCAGCCCCCUGGGUCAACACUGACGCUCAUGCACGAAAGCGUGGGGAGCAAACAGG